CCUACGGGUGGCAGCAGUGGGGAAUAUUGGGCAAUGGAGGCAACUCUGACCCAGCAACGCCGCGUGAAGGAAGAAGGCCUUAGGGUUGUAAACUUAUGUUGUAACGGAAGAAAAGAAUGACGGUACUUUACAAGAAAGCCCAGGCUAACUAUGUGCCAGCAGCCGCGGUAAGACAUAGGGCGCAAGCGUUGUUCGGAAUUAGUGGGUGUACAGGGAGCGUAGGCGGGAGGUUAAGUUAAGAGUGAAAGCCUUGGGCUCAACCCAAGAAAUGCUCUUAAUACUGGUUUUCUAGAGAGUUGGUGCGGUAAGUGGAAUUCAUAGUGUAGCGGUAGAAUGCGUAGAGAUCAUACAGAACA
rnacentral:rRNA from 1 species